UGGGGAAUAUUGCGCAAUGGGGGAAACCCUGACGCAGCAACGCCGCGUGAGUGAGGAAGGCUCUUGGGUCGUAAAGCUCUGUCAGAUGGGAAGAACUGUUUAAGGUCUAAUAGGCCUUAGAUUUGACGGUACCAUCAAAGGAAGCACCGGCUAACUUCGUGCCAGCAGCCGCGGUAAUACGAAGGGUGCAAGCGUUAUUCGGAUUUACUGGGCGUAAAGCGCGCGCAGGCGGAUUGGUAAGUCAGAUGUGAAAUCUCGGGGCUCAACCUCGAAACUGCGUCUGAAACUAUUAAUCUAGAGUCUUGGAGGGGGAAGUGGAAUUUCGCAUGUAGGGGUAAAAUCCGUAGAGAUGCGAAGGAACACCAGUGGCGAAGGCGACUUCCUGGACAAGAACUGACGCUGAGGCGCGAAAGCGUGGGGAGCAAACAGG
rnacentral:rRNA from 1 species